CACGUAGGGCGCAAGCGUUGUCCGGAAUUAUUGGGCGUAAAGAGCUCGUAGGCGGUCUGUUGCGUCCGCUGUGAAAACUCGGGGCUUAACCCCGAGCCUGCAGUGGAUACGGGCAGACUAGAGGUAGGUAGGGGAGAAUGGAAUUCCCGGUGUAGCGGUGAAAUGCGCAGAUAUCGGGAGGAACACCGGUGGCGAAGGCGGUUCUCUGGGC
rnacentral:rRNA from 1 species